rnacentral:rRNA from 1 species
UACGUAGGGUGCGAGCGUUGUCCGGAAUUACUGGGCGUAAAGAGCUCGUAGGUGGUUUGUCGCGUUGUCCGUGAAAACUCACAACUCAAUUGUGGGCGUGCGGGCGAUACGGGCAGACUGGAGUACUGCAGGGGAGACUGGAAUUCCUGGUGUAGCGGUGAAAUGCGCAGAUAUCAGGAAGAACACCGGUGGCGAAGGCGGCUCUCUGGGCCUUACCUGACGCUGAGGAGCGAAAGCGUGGGUAGCGAACAGG